GGCUACGUAGCUCAGCUGGUUAGAGCACAGCAUUCAUAAUGCUGGGGUCGGUGGUUCAAGUCCACCCGUAGCCACCA
rnacentral:tRNA from 6 species